UGGGGCACAGUCUCACGCUGUUCCAGCUGUCUGAGUCAGUCCUACAUCCAAGCCCACAAAGGAGAGAAGAGAGCUGGAUUUGUACAUCUCAGGUCUUAAGGGGAGCCAAGGGGCCAUGCCCCAGGGGAAUGUACUUCAAGGUCAUAGGCAGGUGUUCAAGAGGCCAAUGUAAUACGAGGAUUAUAAGAAAUGGAAAAAGUGAAAUGUGCCGCAGAGUUUUGGAUGGACUUUUAGCAUGUGAUGGAUGAAUGGAGAUGGGGAGCCAAGGAGCUCUUAAGUGAAAACUGGAACCUCAGCCAGGAUCUUGGAAAGCCAAUAAGUGAAAACAUCAGCACGUUUUGAAAAGAUUAAAACAAAUCACAGUGUAAAGAUAACUGUGGUGAUAAGAUUUCACUGAUAGCCAGUGAGAACAUGGGUCAGACAUGUUCUGAAUGCCCAAAUGAAGAGCAAGAAGGGGAAUAUUUGGAAAUGCAUUAUUGUGCAUUUGCUAUAACACUGUAAUUUUGUCAUUAAUAGAAACCUCACUGUUUAUCUCCUAAGGAUCAUGAUUUCCUUUUCUUAUCUACUGUAUUGAAGUAAAAUCUUUAAAAUGUAAA